rnacentral:rRNA from 1 species
AUGCUCACAUUAGUCCCGGUUCGUAAUGCAACCGGGAUUAAUGCUCUUUUCUGGCCAUGGAAUCUACUGCCGGAGGAUCUGGAAAAGAAGGUCUCUUACAUCUUUAAGGCGGCCACUUCUAUCCACUUGGGGGACGGCAAGAGGGCUUAAUUCUGGACGGACAAGUGGCUACCAGGAGGGAACUGCAUACAGGAUGUGGCUCCUGCCUUAUUCUCUUUUGUGAAGGACUCGGAAAAAUCUGUCAAGGAUGCUCUGUGCAACAGCAAUUGGAUUAGGGAUAUCUCUGGAGGCAUUUCGGUACAGGCUAUGGCUCAAUAUCUUAAAAUUUGGGACAUUGCGCGAAGUACUUCAUUGUCGGUGGAAGCUACAGAUAGACUGGUUUGGAAGUGGACUGGAGAUCACAAAUUCUCUGUUAGUAGUGCGUAUGGUUUGUUCUUUGCAGGGAAUGUGCGCUUUGCAUGCCAUGGGCCGAUUUGGAAAUCCAAAGCACCACCAAGAUGCAACUUUUUUAUGUGGCUUGUCGUCCACCGUAGGUGUUUAACAGCGGAUAAUCUGGAACGCAGGGGUUGGCCUUCUAAUGGAUCUUGCCCGCUAUGCCUCUCGGCACACGAAGAUUGCACACAUCUGUUUGUGCACUGCUGUUUCUCUCAGCAGGUUUGGAUAAAAUUCAGGGAUUGGACGAGGGCAGCCUUUCAGACUCCAGAUGAUAGCUUUGGUACUACGGAGGACUGGUGGCUGUAUACGAGGAAGGAAGUCCUCAAGACGGAACGACGUAAUUUUGACACUAUCGCAAUCCUGCUACACUAA